rnacentral:rRNA from 1 species
GGGUAGGGUAGCAAUACCUGAGACCGGCGCACGGGUGCGUAACGCGUAUGCAAUCUACCUUUUACAGAGGGAUAGCCCAGAGAAAUUUGGAUUAAUACCUCAUAGUAUGUAUGAGUGGCAUCACUUAUAUAUUAAAGUCACAACGGUAAAAGAUGAGCAUGCGUCCCAUUAGCUAGUUGGUAAGGUAACGGCUUACCAAGGCGACGAUGGGUAGGGGUCCUGAGAGGGAGAUCCCCCACACUGGUACUGAGACACGGACCAGACUCCUACGGGAGGCAGCAGUGAGGAAUAUUGGACAAUGGGCGCAAGCCUGAUCCAGCCAUGCCGCGUGCAGGAAGACGGUCCUAUGGAUUGUAAACUGCUUUUGUACGGGAAGAAACAGCAGUUCGUGAACUGCCUUGACGGUACCGUAAGAAUAAGGAUCGGCUAACUCCGUGCCAGCAGCCGCGGUAAUACGGAGGAUCCAAGCGUUAUCCGGAAUCAUUGGGUUUAAAGGGUCCGUAGGCGGUUUGGUAAGUCAGUGGUGAAAGCCCAUCGCUCAACGGUGGAACGGCCAUUGAUACUGCCAGACUUGAAUUAUUAGAAA